UAUGGGAUUUGCUUCUUAGAAGCUUCAGAUAUGUGUUCAGAAGCUCAUGCAAAGAGGAGUUCGAUAAGAACCUGAGGGUAAAGAAGAAUAGCCAAAUAAAUUAUUGGGAAUGGUUCCUGAAUGCUCCUGUUUUCCUUCCAGAAUGGUGCUUCCUCAAGCCUGACUUUAAUUGCAGUUUGACAUGCUGGUUUUUCCCAUUGACAAUUCAAUGAUCGAGACAAUAUAUAGGUUGAAAAAGAGGAUGAGAAGAGCCACCCAACCUCAUCUGAAAAGGUCAAGUACAUAUUAUUGCACCGUCGGUCAAUAUUGUGAGCUGCGACCAUCAUGGCAACUUUCUUUUUUGUCGGCGGACUUCUGAAUUCUGAUAGAGUUGAUAAAUCCAAGAGGUUCAGUAAGUUUAUUUCAGAUAUAUGUACAGGUGAAGUAGUACAUAUUAUUGCACCGUUGGUCAACAUUGUGGGCGGUGAUCAUCAUGGUAACUUUUUUUUUCGCCCGCACCGACUUUUGAAUUCUGAUACAGCUUAAGCUGAUAAAUUCAAGAAGUUCAGUCAGUUUAUUUCUGAUAUAUGUACAUGUCAAGUAUAAUUUAUCAUUUCAGAUUUCAAAGACAAGUAGAGAAGUGUGUCCAUCAAAUCAGUCUCUCUGCUAGGCAGGCUGACAGCUGUAUCAACUAGCAGACUUGUCUGGUCAAGGAGUAUCCAUCAGAACGGUUCCUCUCAAGCUUUUGAGUUGAAUUGUCCCAUUCGUUCUCAUGCAAGUCAAGAUACUUGUUUAGCCUGAACACUGCAAGAGAUAAACACAGCGACCCGGUUUCAGUUCAUUUUCUACCGGAUAAUACUCGGUCUAGAUCAUUGCUCAGCUAUCUGUCCAACAAAAACAACUUAGUCCAAAAUCCUUUGGCGAUGCAAUUUCUUUAUAAUACGCCGAAAUGGUCAAGCAUAUUCCUUUGUUGUGGGAGCUGAAAGAAAUCAAGAACCUAUGUAUACGAAGUAAGCCCUAGGGUUUGAUUUCGUUAUAUUUUGCCAACAGAGUCUUGGAACUGACGGUGUACAUAAGAACUGCUGGUUAAUUAAUGCAUUUGUAUGACAUUGGAGAAAUGUGCACGUGAUGCUUGACAAGACCCAUUCAUUCAAAUAUUCAGGAGCAGAACAAAGAUAUGACAAUCAAUUUCUAGAGCAAAGUUGCACACAUAUGCUGGUGUCAUCAUGUAAUCAAGUCUUCCUUCAGGUUCAGAACCGUGGCAGGAGGAGCCUUGUUGCAAGAAGAUGCUUCAGCAAAUGCAGCAAGUGCAUCGUCGUCUGACC